CGAACGGGUGAGUAACACGUGGGCAACCUGCCCAAAAGAGGGGGAUAACACUUGGAAACAGGUGCUAAUACCGCAUAACCAUAGUUACCGCAUGGUAACUAUGUAAAAGGUGGCUAUGCUACCGCUUUUGGAUGGGCCCGCGACGCAUUAGCUAGUUGGUGGGGUAAAGGCUUACCAAGGCAAUGAUGCGUAGCCGAACUGAGAGGUUGAUCGGCCACAUUGGGACUGAGACACGGCUCAAACUCCUACGGGAGGCAGCAG
rnacentral:rRNA from 1 species